UCUAAGCCACUGGUUGUUAACCUUCCUAAU
rnacentral:piRNA from 1 species